AUUGAACGCUGGCGGUAUGCUUAACACAUGCAAGUCGAACGGUAACAUAGACUUCGGUCUGAUGACGAGUGGCGGACGGGUGAGUAAGAUAUAGGAAUCUGGCUUGUAGAGGGGGAUAACUAUCCGAAAGGAUAGCUAAUACCGCAUAAUGAUUACGGUUUAAAGCAGGGGCUCUUCGGACCUUGCGCUACAAGAUGAGCCUAUAUAAGAUUAGCUAGUUGGUGGGGCAAAGGCUCACCAAGGCGACGAUCUUUAGCUGGUCUGAAAGGAUGAGCAGCCACACUGGGACUGAGACACGGCCCAGACUCCUACGGGAGGCAGCAGUGGGGAAUAUUGGACAAUGGGCGGAAGCCUGAUCCAGCAAUACCGCGUCUGUGAAGAAGGCCUUCGGGUUGUAAAGCACUUUUGUUAGGGAGGAUGGUGAUUUAGGCUAAUACCCUAAGUCGCUGACGUUACCUAAAGAAUAAGCACCGGCUAACUCCGUGCCAGCCGCCGCUGUAA
rnacentral:rRNA from 1 species